GAACGCUGGCGGCGUGCUUAACACAUGCAAGUCGAACGGAAAGGCCCUGCUUUUGUGGGGUGCUCGAGUGGCGAACGGGUGAGUAACACGUGAGUAACCUGCCCUUGACUUUGGGAUAACUUCAGGAAACUGGGGCUAAUACCGGAUAGGAGCUCCUGCUGCAUGGUGGGGGUUGGAAAGUUUCGGCGGUUGGGGAUGGACUCGCGGCUUAUCAGCUUGUUGGUGGGGUAGUGGCUUACCAAGGCUUUGACGGGUAGCCGGCCUGAGAGGGUGACCGGCCACAUUGGGACUGAGAUACGGCCCAGACUCCUACGGGAGGCAGCAGUGGGGAAUAUUGCACAAUGGGCGGAAGCCUGAUGCAGCAACGCAGCGUGCGGGAUGACGGCAUUCGGGUUGUAAACCGCUUUCGCCUGUGACGAAGCGUGAGUGACGGUAAUGGGUAAAGAAGCACCGGCUAACUACGUG
rnacentral:rRNA from 1 species